UACGUAGGGCGCGAGCGUUGUCCGGAAUUAUUGGGCGUAAAGAGCUCGUAGGCGGCUUGUCGCGUCGUCCGUGAAAACCUGCGGCUCAACUGCAGGCUGGCGGUCGAUACGGGCAGGCUGGAGUUCGGUAGGGGAGACUGGAAUUCCUGGUGUAGCGGUGAAAUGCGCAGAUAUCAGGAGGAACACCGGUGGCGAAGGCGGCCAACUGGACGAACACUGACGCUGAGACUCGAAAGCGUGGGGAGCAAACAGG
rnacentral:rRNA from 1 species